UGAGAGUUCAAGAGGGCGUGAAACCGCUUAGAAGCAAACGGAUGGACCUGACAGUGAAUCGAUAGUAUUCAGCUUUUUGUCCCAUCUCUGCCCGCUCGUAGAUCGCAAGACUGCGACGCGACGUAGGUAUGGUCAAGGAGUGCAUUUGCUGUCGAUGCGCACUAGGACCUGUGACGGCGCUGGAAUGAAGUCAGUGGUUGCCGGCCAACCCUUCGGGGAUGGUGUCCCACCACUUGGCCCAAACCGGGUUGCUGUGACAGGAGAUUCAGAGAGAGGCCCGCCUCUACUCGACUGCGUGACGAGCCUUGCCAAAUGAAAUGCAGAUUCCUUGCACGCAAGACUUUGCGCUGCCUGGUUCGGUGAGUUGCGUCAGUUCGAGUUUGGCCUUGAAUCCUGGUGUUUUUGUCGGUCACCCAUCCGACCCGUCUUGAAACACGGACCAAGGAGUCUAACAUGUGCGCGAGUCACUGGGUGGUGAAACCCAAAGGCGAAAUGAAAGUGAAGGCUAGUUUUGGCUGGCUGACAUGGGAUCCCUGUCCUCGGACGGGGCGCACCAUGGUCCCGUUCAUACUGCAUUGUCAGUGGAGCGGAGAUUGAGCGUACAUGUUGGGACCCGAAAGAUGGUGAACUAUGCCUGAGCAGGAUGAAGCCAGAGGAAACUCUGGUGGAGGUCCAUAGCGAUUCUGACGUGCA
rnacentral:rRNA from 1 species